GGUGGCUCAGUGGUAGAGUGCUUGCCUUCCAUGCAUGAGGACAUGGGUUCGAUUCCUCAGCACCA
rfam:Dipodomys ordii contig_57608, whole genome shotgun sequence.